rnacentral:rRNA from 1 species
UACAGAGGGUACAAGCGUUGUUCGGAAUCAUUGGGCGUAAAGGGCGCGUAGGCGGGUGGGCAAGUCCGGGGUGAAAUCUUUCGGCUCAACCGGAAAAGGGCCUUGGAUACUGCUCGUCUGGAGGGAGGUAGGGGUCUGUGGAACUGCUGGUGGAGCGGUGAAAUGCGUAGAUAUCAGGAGGAACACCGGUGGCGAAGGCGGCUAUCUGGACAGAGUCUGACGCUGAGGCGCGAAAGCUAGGGGAGCAAACGGG